CUGGGCAUUAGUGUGGCAGUGGCAGUGGUGUUGGCUGUUAUGUUUGUCAGGUUUAGAAAACAAAGAAAAAACGCUGACAACUUCUCGACUACAAACCUCUGCAUCGACAGCAACACGACAGAGGAGAAUUCAUUCCAGAGAGAAACCAGAAAUUCGGAUCAGAGCUCUCAUGGUACAAGAUGGACCCAUAAGCAGAAA